ACCUGGUUGAUCCUGCCAGUGGUCAUAUGCUCGUCUCAAAGAUUAAGCCAUGCAUGUCCAAGUUCAUAACCAAUCGGUUGAAACUGCGAAGCGCUCAGUAAAUCAGUUAUCGUCCAUUCGAUCUUACUUGUCAUUGGAUAACUGUGGCAAAUCUAGAGCUAAUACAUGCAACACAACCCCUGUGGGGUGCAUUUGUUAGACUUUAACCAGCAACUGCGGUGAAUCUAGAUAACUGCGCAUAUCGUAUUGGCCCAGAGCCGACGAUAGUUCGAUCGAAUUUCUGCCCUAUCAACUUGUUGGUAAGGUAGUGGCUUACCAAGGUUUUGACGGGUAACGGGGAAUUAGGGUUCGAUUCCGGAGAGGGAGCCUGAGAAACGGCUACCACAUCCAAGGAAGGCAGCAGGCGCGUAAAUUACCCAAUCCAGACAUUGGGAGGUAGUGACGAGAAAUACCGGGGCAGGUCUAUGAUUUGCUAUCGGAAUGAACGUAAUUUAAUAAAUUCGAUGAGGAUCACUGGAGGGCAAGUCUGGUGCCAGCAGCCGCGGUAAUUCCAGCUCCAGUAGUGUAUAUCAAAAUUGUUGCGGUUAAAACGCUCGUAGUUGAUUACAAGAGCUGCAGUUUUCGGGCUAAGAAUUCUAUUCUACCGGCGCUGCGGCUCUUUUUAUCGCAAGAUCUGUGCAGCACUUUAUUGAGUUGUGCAGGAACUUGCGGAGUGUGCCUUGAAUAAAGCAUAGUGCUCAAAGCAGGCGUACGCUCGUAUGUUAUAGCAUGGAACGAAUAAAUAGACCGAGUCCAUUUGUUGGUUUGGGACCAGGUCACGAUUAAGAGGGGCAUUUGAGGGCAUUAGUACUCUGCGGCGAGAGGUGAAAUUCUUAGACCCGCAGAAGACUGACUAUUGCGAAGGCAUUUGUCAAGAGUGUUUUCAUUAAUCAAGAACGAAGGUCAGAGGUUCGAAGACGAUCAGAUACCGUCCUAGUUUUGACAGAAAACGAUGCUACCACGGGAUUAGUCCGAUGCUAAUCAGGUUGGUCCCUCCGAGAAAUCUCAAGCGUUUGAGCUCCGGGGGGUGUACGGUCGCAAGGCUGAAACUUAAAGAAAUUGACGGAAAGGCACCACCAGGAGUGGAGCCUGCGGCUUAAUUUGACUCAACACGGGGAAACUCACCAGGUCCAGACAUUGAUAGGAUUGACAGACUGAGUGAUCUUUCAUGAUACAGUGAAUGGUGGUGCAUGGCCGUUCUUAGUUGGUGGAGUGAUCUGUCAGGUCUAUUCCGGUAACGAGCGAGACCACGAUCUCUAUUUUAUUAAAGUUGCAACAGUAGCAACUUCAUUAUAGAGAGACUAUCGGAUUUCAAAGCCGGGGGAAGCGUGGCAAUAACAGGUCUGUGAUGCCCUUCGAUGUCCUGGGCUGCACGCGCGCUACAAUGGCAGUGACGAAGAGAUUAUUCGUUGCCCUGAGAAGGGUGACUAAACUUGUAAAUCACUGUCAUGAUUGGGAUUGAGCCUUGAAACUAUUGCUCAUGAAGGAGGAAUUCCUAGUAAGUACGAGUCACCAACUCGUGCUGAUUACGUCUCUGCCUUUUGUACACACCGCCCGUCGCUAUUACAGAUUGGGUGCAUUUCAGAAAUGGCAGGAUCGGACUUGCUGUAAUAGCGAGCCGAGAGUACCAUUAAUGACAUGCAUCUAGAUGAAAUAAAAGUCGUAACAAGGUUUCCGUAGGUGAACCAGCGGAAG
rnacentral:rRNA from 1 species